ensembl:lncRNA
GUUAAAGUCCAACCAGACAGACCGUUAAGCUACGGACCCUGAAGAGAGAGACGCAUUCCAACGGUUGGUCUUUGUCGGUGGCAGAACAUCAGAACUCAAGGUCCCGGUUCUCCAGCCCCAGAGACCCCACAGAGAGUGGUUCUAAUUUGACCAGGAGUCGAUUUAGCCGUGGCGUGUUUCGGAACCCUUGAAGAUCCUUGACCUUUUUCUUUACCGUUGAUUUGUCAUUGCCAUAAAGGCAUAACAUCUCUGUGUUUGGCGGACGUUAUUAUUAGUAAACUCUUACAUAUCCAAAAAAUAAGUCAGACAACAAUCAAACCAGACAACGGUAGACCAUCUCUUUCUCUCAGCCACGUGAUAUAGCCAAACUACCCAACUACCUUUCACGGCUUUUAGUUACAAUAUGUGUCUUGUACAUGAGUACUAUUUCUCAAUUGAUAAAAGUACACAUCUGAGCUCAUCUAUUUACAGUGUCCAACACGCAAAUAACAACAAUCGUUCUGUUUCGCGUCCCAGGUCCAUUCUCGUGUCAUCUCUGACGCGUGGCAUCGCUUUUAGAAACCUAUCAAACAGACACCAUGUGCUGAUGCUAAUAAGUCACGAAUGUAAACCUUAGAAAGACUGCUUCAGAAACCACAAUCUACGUAAAAUGUCCCACGACGUCGGAUGCAUAGAGUUCAGUUGUCCCGCCAUAGAAAAGAUCAGGCAAAUGACCGGCAGUGACACUAACAGAGAGAUCCAUCCGGAGACCAGUGCUCGGUGGGGUAGAAGGAGAGGAGACAUCCAAGUGGACCCCGGUUCCUUCUCCUGGAACCUCCAGCCCAUCCCGACGUUUGUUCUUCAUAAUAAUCGCUCAACACUGUUUGUGUUCUCCUUAAUUCAAUAAAAUGACCAUUGCUGCUCCUUCUGCCAACAGGCUUACAAAAUCGAUUCCCCGGAAUAUAAUUUUCAAGUUAACAAACACAUCGAUUACUGUGUCCGUUUGAUAAUGACAUAAAUAUCCGCCUCGUUUCCCUGCCCCUCCUUUGAUUCAUGCCGUGUUCCCACUCAACCUCUCUGGAACCCGUUUGUUCAAAGCUCUGCACUCGUUUCACAAAAGGGAGUCGGGAGUCGGGACGUCCCGUCGGAAAUAACAUAAGCCCCCCCAGAUACAAACACCCUGCGUUUUCCAUGUGUACACAUUAGCAGACACACACACACACACACACACACACACACACACACACACACACACACACACACACACA